CCCUGAUCUCUUUAAUAACCUCCAAAAUGUUAUAGUCAAUGGUAAGUUUAUGUAAGCGUUCUUGUUUUGCCAGAUCAAUAUAAAGCUCAUUAAGCUCCUUUCCUUUCUUUUUUUUUAUAGUGGCACCCAAUUUUAUGAGACAUCCUCUCAUAUAUGAUUUAAACGUACACCAUAACAUGGCGUUAGAGACAUCCCCUGUAUCAUUGAUUUCGAAGAAUUC